rnacentral:rRNA from 1 species
UACGAAGGGGGCUAGCGUUGUUCGGAAUUACUGGGCGUAAAGCGCGUGUAGGCGGGUCUUUAAGUCAGGGGUGAAAUGCCAAGGCUCAACCUUGGAACUGCCUUUGAUACUGAAGAUCUUGAGUUCGGGAGAGGUGAGUGGAACUGCGAGUGUAGAGGUGAAAUUCGUAGAUAUUCGCAAGAACACCAGUGGCGAAGGCGGCUCACUGGCCCGAUACUGACGCUGAGGCACGAAAGCGUGGGGAGCAAACAGG